UACAGAGGUCUCAAGCGUUGUUCGGAUUCAUUGGGCGUAAAGGGUGCGUAGGUGGCGGGGUAAGUCAGGUGUGAAAUCUCGGAGCUCAACUCCGAAACUGCACUUGAUACUGCCUUGCUCGAGUACUGGAGAGGAGAUUGGAAUUUACGGUGUAGCAGUGAAAUGCGUAGAUAUCGUAAGGAAGACCAGUGGCGAAGGCGAAUCUCUGGACAGUUACUGACACUGAGGCACGAAGGCCAGGGGAGCAAACAGG
rnacentral:rRNA from 2 species